rnacentral:rRNA from 1 species
AGGGUUUGAUCAUGGCUCAGAACGAACGCUGGCGGCAGGCCUAACACAUGCAAGUCGAACGCAUCUCUUUCGGGAGGUGAGUGGCGCACGGGUGAGUAACGCGUGGGAACCUGCCCUGGGGUUGGGAAUAACGGAUGGAAACGUCCGCUAAUACCCGAUACGCCCUGGAGGUUUAAGACCUUUGGGGGAAAGAUUUACCGCCCUGGGAGGGGCCCGCGUCGGAUUAGCUAGUUGGUGUGGUAAGAGCGCACCAAGGCCGCGAUCCAUAGCUGGUCUGAGAGGAUGAUCAGCCACACUGGGACUGAGACACGGCCCAGACUCCUACGGGAGGCAGCAGUGGGGAAUAUUGGACAAUGGGCGCAAGCCUGAUCCAGCCAUGCCGCGUGAGUGAAGAAGGCCCUUUGGGUUGUAAAGCUCUUUCAGCGGGGACGAUGAUGACGGUACCCGCUAAAGAAGCCCCGGCUAACUUCGUGCCAGCAGCCGCGGUAAUACGAAGGGGGCAAGCGUUGUUCAGAUUUACUGGGCGUAAAGGGCGCGUAGGCGGAUGAUCAAGUCAGAGGUGAAAGCCCCGGGCUCAACCUGGGAAUUGCCUUUGAAACGGGUCGUCUUGAGGACGGGAGAGGAUGGUGGAAUACCCAGUGUAGAGGUGAAAUUCGUAGAUAUUGGGUGGAACACCGGUGGCGAAGGCGACCAUCUGGCCCGUAACUGACGCUGAGGCGCGAAAGCGUGGGGAGCAAACAGGAUUAGAUACCC